rnacentral:rRNA from 1 species
GCGACCGGCGCACGGGUGAGUAACACGUAUCCAACCUGCCGAUGACUCGGGGAUAGCCUUUCGAAAGAAAGAUUAAUACCCGAUGGCAUAGUUCUUCCGCAUGGUAGAACUAUUAAAGAAUUUCGGUCAUCGAUGGGGAUGCGUUCCAUUAGGUUGUUGGCGGGGUAACGGCCCACCAAGCCUUCGAUGGAUAGGGGUUCUGAGAGGAAGGUCCCCCACAUUGGAACUGAGACACGGUCCAAACUCCUACGGGAGGCAGCAUG